rnacentral:rRNA from 1 species
AUGAGUUAAGUAUAAACCCCUUUACAAGUAUCAAUUGGAGGGCAAGUCUGGUGCCAGCAGCCGCGGUAAUUCCAGCUCCAAUAGCGUAUAUUAAAGUUGUUGCAGUUAAAAAGCUCGUAGUUGGAUUUCUGUUAAUAAUUUAUAUAUAAUAUUUGAAUGAUAUUUAUAUAAUAUUAACAUAAUUCAUAUUACUAAAUUAUGAAUUUGGUAUAUGAAAUUUUACUUUGAGAAAAUUAGAGUGCUUAAAGCAGGCAUUAGCCUUGAAUACUCCAGCAUGGAAUAAUAUAAAAGAUUUUUAUCUUUUUUAUUGGUUCUAAGAUAAAAAUAAUGAUUAAUAGGGACAGUUGGGGGCAUUUGUAUUUAACAGUCAGAGGUGAAAUUCUUAGAUUUGUUAAAGACAAACUAGUGCGAAAGCAUUUGCCAAGGAUGUUUUCAUUAAUCAAGAACGAAAGUUAGGGGAUCGAAGACGAUCAGAUACCGUCGUAGU